rnacentral:rRNA from 1 species
CCUACGGGGGGCAGCAGUGAGGAAUAUUGGUCAAUGGGCGCAAGCCUGAACCAGCCAAGUCGCGUGAGGGAUGACGGUCCUAUGGAUUGUAAACCUCUUUUGUCGGGGAGCAAGGCCCGCCACGUGUGGCGGGAAGGAGAGUACCCGAAGAAAAAGCAUCGGCUAACUCCGUGCCAGCAGCCGCGGUAAAACGGAGGAUGCGAGCGUUAUCCGGAUUUAUUGGGUUUAAAGGGUGCGUAGGCGGAAGGUUAAGUCAGCGGUAAAAUGUCGGGGCUCAACACCGGCCUGCCGUUGAAACUGGUCUUCUUGAGUGAGCGAGAAGUAUGCGGAAUGCGUGGUGUAGCGGUGAAAUGCAUAGAUAUCACGCAGAACUCCGAUUGCGAAGGCAGCAUACCGGCGCUCAACUGACGCUGAGGCACGAAAGCGUGGGGAUCGAACAGGAUUAGAUACCCCUGUAGUC